AUGGCGUCAGUACCUCCCGCCAAGAUACACGGUUGACCUUACUGGUGUGCCGUUAUAUUUUCAGCCUGUAUAGAGGUGACAGUGCCGUGACAGAGGUGGUGGAGGUUAUUAAUGCACCAAGAAACAGGUGUGUAAGGUGUGGCAGUGGUGUUGAUAAGGGAUUAGUGUGUAAGAAGGGAAAGAAGUGUGGUGGGCCAAGUGCACGUCUGCUCCAUGUCAACAAACUUAGUGUGAUGGCCGUGUGGUGUUGCUUAUACACCCCAUAAACACACUCAAACACCCCGCAACACAUCCACAACAUGCCCAUAUACACCCACACACACAAAGUGAAGUGAUGACAUUCCCGACAGCACCAGCGGCGAGACAAAAGAGCAAUGCAACUCUUUACCACGACUCUCCACAACGCCUCACCAUCAUUUAUUUCAGGCUCAGGCGUGUAGAUGGGAGCAGUAGAAGAAA